CCUACGGGAGGCAGCAGUGGGGAAUAUUGCACAAUGGGGGAAACCCUGAUGCAGCGACGCCGCGUGAGUGAAGAAGUAAUGCGUUAUGUAAAGCUCUAUCAGCAGGGAAGAAAAUGACGGUACCUGAGUAAGAAGCACCGGCUAACAACGUGCCAGCAGCCGCGGUAAUAAGUAGGGGGCAAGCGUUAUCCGGAUUUACUGGGUAUAAAGGGAGCGUAGACGGCAGUGCAAGUCUGGAGUGAAAGGCGGGGGCUCAACCCUCGGACUGCCCUGGAAACUGGACGGCUGGAGUGCAGGAGAGGUAAGUGGAAUUCCUAGUGUAGCGGUGAAAUGCGUAGAUAUUAGGAGGAACACCAGUGGCGAAGGCGGCUUACUGGACUGUAACUGACGUUGAGGCUCGAAAGCGUGGGGAGCAAACAGGAUUAGAUACCCUUGUAGUC
rnacentral:rRNA from 1 species